rnacentral:tRNA from 1 species
GCCUUCGUGGUGUAGUCGUCAGUACACUCGGCGUGUAUUCGAGAGGUCCGUGGUUCGAGUCCCGGCGACGGCA